ensembl:lncRNA
GUUACUAAGGAUACAGGUCUAUGGUUACUAAGGAUACAGGUCUAUGGUUACUAAGGAUACAGGUCUAUGGUUAAUAAGGAUACAGGUCUAUGGUUACUAAGGAUACAGGUCUAUGGCUAAUAAGGAUAUAGAUCUAUGGCUAAUAAGGAUACAGGUCUAUGGUUACUAAGGAUACAGGUCUAUGGUUACUAAGGAUACAGGCCUAUGGUUAAUAAGGAUACAGGUCUAUGGUUACUAAGGAUACAGGUCUAUGGUUACUAAGGAUACAGGCCUAUGGUUAAUAAGGAUACAGGUCUAUGGUUACUAAGGAUACAGGUCUAUGGUUACUAAGGAUACAGGUUGUCCUUUAUUGUUAUGAUCCUUGUCCUGAAGGCAGAACUGAGGGAUUUCCUCCUUGUCUAGGCCAGCUGCAAAGUCAACAUUGACUAUAUUGUAAAAAUGUAUACAAAUUAGGAUUUAAGAUUAGGGUUAAGGUUAGGACAAGGGUG